ensembl:lncRNA
GAUUAGAUCAACUUAGUGUCCUAUUUACCCAUCAACAAGAACCCAUCAUUUCAUCAACCAAUCCACUUUUAGGGUUACAAAAAGUAGCCUUGAUAGAGCUUAACACAAGUCUGAGAUUAUACUGAAGAAAAUGAUAAACAAGAAACACCUACAAGGAACAUUCACAUUCAACAAACUUGGAUGAUAAGGCAGCCCUUUUCAUGUCUCUCCAGCUAAAAAAGUCGUCCUUACCUUGACAUACGUUGAAAACAUUGGAAUUCAGCCGAUCAAUUCAGCCUUUAAUCUCCACAGCAGUCCUUCUUGGUUCAACAGUCUCUACCGGCUAAUGGAUCAGCCACAUUUUACCUAACAGCUGACUGAGAUCAACCCUUUCGUCUUUGAAGAUGCCAAUUAACAGAACCGUCUUGGGACAAGAUCUGAAUAUCCAUCUAAAGUACCAUCUUCCAGCUAGAGCCAAGCAAGACGAUGGACAACUUCUGUCUAAAUCUCCAAACUCUGUCACAGUGCCUUAUGGAGAAACAAAUGAUUUAUUAACAAUAAUAAUAUGAAAAGGAGAAUGAAGAGGACAGUGGAGAAGGAAAUGGCGACCCACUCCAGUGUUCUUGCCUGGAGAAUCCCAGGGACGGGGGAGCCUGGUGGGCUGCCGUCUCUGGGGUCGCACAGAGUCGGACACAACUGAGGCGACUUAGCAGCAGCAGCAGCAGGAAAGUACAUGGUAUGGUAAGCACGAAGUAAAUGUUAGCUAGAUCCUGGAAACUUCCCUUUGUCAGCAAGCUAUUUAAACUCUCUGUGCCAUCAGUUCCUCACUUGUCAAA